GCCAAGAGGGCAUAUUUGGGCGGUAGGAGCACAAAAUGCUGGAAAGAGCACAUUAAUCAAUGCAAUAGGGAAGUGUUCAGGUGGAAAUCUAAGUCAUUUAACAGAGGCACCGGUGCCGGGGACUACGUUGGGAAUACUGAGGGUAGAAGGUGUGCUUCCAAGGAAUGCCAAGUUGUUUGAUACUCCAGGGCUUUUACAUCCGCAUCAGAUUUCGACAAGGUUGACUAGGGAUGAGCAGAAGCUAGUUCAUAUAAGUAAAGAGUUGAAGCCAAGGACAUACAGAAUCAAGGUUGGACAUUCAGUUCAUAUAGGUGGACUCAUGCGGUUGGAUGUGGAAGAAUUAUCUAUUGAUUCCGUGUAUGUUACAGUUUGGGCAUCUCCGCUAAUUCCACUUCACAUGGGGAGGACAGAGAACGUCAGCACAAUGCUGGAAGAACAUUUUGGGCGUCAGCUGCAGCCGCCGAUUGGGGAGGGACGACCUGAAGAGCUAGGGAAAUGGUUGAAGAGGGAAUUUCAUGUGAAUGGAAAUAUGUGGGAUUCAAGUUCUGUUGAUAUUGCUGCUUCUGGUCUUGGUUGGUUUGCCAUUGGACUAAAGGGAGAGGCUAAAUUAGGUGUCUGGACAUAUGAUGGUGUUG
rnacentral:misc_RNA from 1 species